rnacentral:tRNA from 1 species
GGGAUCGUGGGGUAGCUUGGUAUCCUUUUGCGUUUGGGACGCAAUAACCCCGGUUCGAAUCCGGGCGAUCCCA